rnacentral:rRNA from 1 species
CUUGCUCCUGGCGGCGAGUGGCGGACGGGUGAGUAACACGUAGGAAUCUGCCUAGUAGUGGGGGAUAACUCGGGGAAACUCGAGCUAAUACCGCAUACGCUCUACGGAGGAAAGCGGGGGAUCUUCGGACCUCGCGCUAUUAGAUGAGCCUGCGUCCGAUUAGCUAGUUGGUGGGGUAAAGGCCCACCAAGGCGACGAUCGGUAGCUGGUCUGAGAGGACGAUCAGCCACACUGGAACUGAGACACGGUCCAGACUCCUACGGGAGGCAGCAGUGGGGAAUAUUGGACAAUGGGCGCAAGCCUGAUCCAGCAAUGCCGCGUGUGUGAAGAAGGCCUGCGGGUUGUAAAGCACUUUAAGCAGGGAAAGAAGGUGUUAGGGUUAAUAUCCCUGGUCAUUGACGUUACCUGCAGAAUAAGCACCGGCUAACUCCGUGCCAGCAGCCGCGGUAAUACGGAGGGUGCGAGCGUUAAUCGGAAUUACUGGGCGUAAAGCGCGCGUAGGCGGUUGACUAAGUCUGCUGUGAAAGCCCCGGGCUUAACCUGGGAACUGCAGUGGAUACUGGUCGGCUAGAGUAUGGUAGAGGGUAGUGGAAUUUCCGGUGUAGCAGUGAAAUGCGUAGAGAUCGGAAGGAACACCAGUGGCGAAGGCGGCUAUCUGGACCAAUACUGACGCUGAAGUGCGAAAGCGUGGGAGCAAACAGGAUUAGAUACCCUGGUAGUCCACGCCCUAAACGAUGAGAACUAGCCGUUGGGUCCCGAAUUUCUGGAUUUAGUGGCGCAGCUAACGCGUUAAGUUCUCCGCCUGGGGAGUACGCCGCAAGGCUAAUACUCAAAUGAAUUGACGGGGGCCCGCACAACGUGGAGCAUGUGGUUUAAUUCGAUGCACCCGAAGAACCUUACCUGGUCUUGACAUCCCAGCGAACCCAUCUCAGAGAUAGAUUGGUCCCUUCGGGAACGCUGAGACAGGUGCUGCAUGGCUUUCGUCAGCUCUUGUCGUGAGAUGUUGGGUUAAGUCCCGUAACGAGCCCAACCCGCCCCUAUGCCAUCAGUUCAAGGGACACUAGGAAGACCCCCAGGAUAAACCGGAGAGAAGAGGGGAUGACGUCAAGUCCUCAAGCCCUUACAGCCAGGGCAAAACACGACCAAGGCAGAACCAAGGAGACCCAAGCCGCGAGCGGGACCAAUAACACAAAACCGACCUCAGUCCGGAUGCACUCUACAACUCGAGUCCAUGAAGUCU